UACCUGCAGCUCAAGUGGUGGCCGCUAUUAUUGGGCCUAAAACGUUCGUAGCCGGUUUGGUAAAUGCCUGGGUAAAUCGUGUAGCUUAACUAUACGAAUUCCGGGUAGACUGCUAAACUUGAGACCGGGAGAGGCUAGAGGUACUCCUGGGGUAGAGGUGAAAUUCUGUAAUCCUGGGGGGACCACCAGUGGCGAAGGCGUCUAGCUAGAACGGGUCUGACGGUGAGGAACGAGGCCCUGGGGCACAAACCGGAUUAGAUACCCGGGUAGUCCAGGGUGUAAACGCUGCUUGCUUGAUGUUAGUUGGGCUCCGAGCCCAACUAGUGUCGGAGAGAAGUUGUUAAGCAAGCUGCCUGGGGAGUACGGUCGCAAGACUGAAACUUAAAGGAAUUGGCGGGGAGCACAGCAACAGGUGGAGCGUGCGGUUU
rnacentral:rRNA from 1 species